rnacentral:antisense_RNA from 1 species
GGUGAUUGUGGCCUCCAUAGGAGCCUACCUCCCGUUUCCUGGCCUGGGCCCCUACAAUGUUAGUAAAACAGCAUUGCUGGGCCUCACCAAGAACCUGGCCAGAGAGCUCGACCAAAGGAACAUUAGAGUGAACUGCCUGGCACCAGGACUCAUUAAGACUAGCUUCAGCAAAGUGCCUUGGAUGGACAAGGCAAGGGAGGAGAGCAUUAAAAAAGUCAUGCAGAUAAGAAGGAUGGGCAAGCCAGAUGACUGUGCAGGCAUCGUGUCAUUCCUGUGCUCUGAAGAUGCCAGCUACAUCACUGGGGAGACAGUGGUAGUGGGUGGAGGGACACCAUCCCACCUCUGAGGACCUGGAGAGACCUCACCAGGGCAGAGAUUGGGCUCCACACCUGAGUUCUCUUCUAGUAUUCAUUGACUUUCCUUUCCCACCUCUGCCUAAUAUAUUGCUCACCUUACACCCCGCCCCACCCCCCAAAUCAGUUCUGCUCUGUGAAAAGAUCCAGCCUUCCCUGUGGUCAAAGUAUCCUCUUGUGAGGAUUCCCUCUGUUGCUGUACCCUUGGAUACAAACUUCCCCUGAGAGUGUAGGGCAGGCCUGCUGAGAAAGCUAUGUCUACCUUGGCAAAAACCAACCAGUAUCUUUUUCCCUUGCAUGGGGGAACUUGAGGGAGAUGGGACUGAAGGAACCCAGGUGGGAAGAGCAGGGUGGAAAAUCAACAACCUGCAAAGGGAGAUGCAAAUAAAAUGCGGAUGAUUGUGUUGCUUUGAAUCGGUGUGUUCAUUUUUCAUAGGAGUGGUAGCCAAGCAGAGAUCCUAGGUGGACUACAUGUCUGCAUUUCCCCCUAAUCCUCCUCCCUGUCUCCAGGACCUCAGCUUGAUGCUCAGGGGUGGAUAUGUCUGCAGAACUGCCGGCUGAGAGGAGGUGGCUCGGGAACUCCCGAGUGAUACUCUCGGCCUCACACCUAUGGGGCUGGUGCCAAGGGCACUGCAGGAAUCCCCACAGCUGGGCAAGUGGGAGGGAGGAUGAACAUCCCCAGAUCUGGCCAGGUCCUCUCCUGGCAUCGCCCUCGAUCCUGAG